AAAUGAGCCUGCUGUCGGCCAUCGACACGAGCGCCGCCUCGGUGUACCAACCCGCCCAGCUGCUCAACUGGGUCUACCUGUCGCUGCAGGACACACACCAGGCGAGCGCCUUCGAUGCCUUCCGGCCCGAGCCGCCCGCCGGCGCCGCGCCCCCAGAGCUGGCCUUCGGCAAGGGCCGCCCAGAGCAGCUGGGCUCGCCCUUGCACUCCAGCUAUCUCAACAGCUUCUUCCAGCUGCAGCGCGGAGAGGCACGCCCCAAAGGCGAGGGUCUGACCCCGUAUCAGGGCAAAAAGCGCUGUUUCGGAGAGUACAAGUGUCCCAAGUGCAAGAGAAAAUGGAUGAGCGGGAACUCUUGGGCCAACAUGGGACAGGAGUGCAUCAAGUGCCACAUCAACGUGUACCCACACAAGCAGAGACCCCUGGAGAAGCCCGAUGGCCUGGACGUGUCUGACCAGAGCAAGGAGCACCCCCAGCACCUGUGCGAGAAGUGCAAGGUGCUGGGCUACUACUGCCGGCGCGUGCAAUGACCCGGCCGCCCACCAUGCCCCACCGCCCUCCUGCCAGCUGGAGAAGACGCAACCACCCUGCAUGUCCCCAAGUGUGCACGUGCAAGGGGGCAUCCUCAAAGGCUUACAGGUCUGGUGGGUGGGCUCUUAUGUUCUUGUAUGUUGACAAACAGUGUUAACUGACGUAGCUGCCGCCCCACAAGGCCCGCUCUCUGCGACUCUCUACAGGUGGGCCUGGGUCUGUGUGGAGGGGACAAGGUGAGCAGAGGUCAGCGCACAGGACCCCACAGAGCCUUCAGCGUCCCCUGCAGGCUCUCCUCUGAGACUCCCUUUUGGGUGAGCAGCCUUACAUUGGCCACAAGUGCACUAAAUUUACUGUGAAUCCCAGAGCCUGCAGGGGACGGUCUCCCAAAACCAGCCAGGUGGCCUUCUCCCACCCAGAACCUUCCAGUUUGCCCUGUGUGAAAAGCCACUCUUGGAAAGCCCUAAUUUUCUAAGUCAGUGCUCAUGGCAAGCUGACUCCUGUUCUAGCAGCUGCUGGGGAGCGGGCAUCUCUGCCCCCUGCCACUUUGAGCCCCAAACCUGACUGCCUCUGAAGCCACUGGCAUUGCACCUGGGCCCCGCACAUCUCCCCUCCCCCUACACCCCAGAGGUCAGGGAUGGGGAGGCACUGAAUGUUGGACGGUGCUCCAGCGUGUGACCUGGGGCACAGAGGGCAACACCCCCUCCCCCACCACAGACUUCCCCCACGCGUUUGGAUUUUGCCAGCCCUAUCCCCUUCCCUUCUCCUUCCCCUCUCACCCAUGCUGGGGAGCCACACCCGGAAGGAGGCAAUAGGACCCAGCAGGGAAACCACUCUGGCAGGAAGGACCCAGGCCUGGCAGUCCAAAGACCUGGGUUUUAAUGCUGACCCCGCCACUGAUGCACUACAGAGCCUUGAGAAGGAUUCUCACCUCUGGGCCUCUGUUUCCCCACUAAGAGAAAGAGAGAGUGACACCAGAGAGGCCCAUUUCUGUCCUGAUGUUCUGGAAUUCUGCCUGGCUGGGUGCCAUCUCCUGGAGCAGAGAGCUUUAUUUGGAGAGUUUCCCCAGGCUCCCUACCCAUCCCCUUCCCACUAUCACCCAUCAGUCAGUCACUUAAGAAAUCAGGUGGAGGGAUGCAGGUCCUCCCCUGUUGCCCCCUGCAACCCCAGCCAUGUCUUUUGUCCCCUACCCUGCAAACGUGAAGGAGAAAGGUCUCCCCCUCCUUACAGGGCAACCCCAAGACACGCUACAGAACCUCUGGUUUGCAAAGUGGGGACAAUGAUUCCUACCUCCCGAGGGGGCGGAGAGGCCUCCUGGCACUCACACUGGACAGGCCUGCCAAUGCUGUCCUGGCUAGUGGGAAGGAUUGCCUUCCUCUCUGCUCUCUCCCCCAUGAGAAGCCCUAUUUGCUUUGUCAUAUUACCCUUCCUUUCUCCCAGGGCUGGGUCCUUUGAUGUUGCCCCAACAUUAUGCCUCUGUGGGAAAAAAAAAAAAAAAAAAAAAAAAUCAGACCGCGGAAUGGGCCUGAAAUUCAGUGUUUACCACGGCUCAAGGACACCCAACCUGGGGCCGGUCGUCUUUGGUUUUCAAGUGAAAAUGCUUUGUACAACUGAGGAGUUACGGCAAAGUGUUAAUCAGGGGUCCAGGGAGUGAGUUGAAGAGAUGGAGUUGAGAGUAUUUGCAGCCAGAGG
rnacentral:lncRNA from 1 species